AGGAACGAAUAUUUGAUGGAUUGAGUCUUGGAGCAAAAGAAAGGGGUUUUGGAGCUGAUUUGGUACGAAAAUACGAAGAUUCGGAGACAAAAAUAUAUCUCCCUCAAGUCAGAAACUUGGCACGGCCGUGCCACACUCUAGAACUACUUUUUCUGCUUUUGCUUAGAUUUUAAGCUACUCUGUUUUAGUUUACUUGUGGAACAUUCUAGUGAUUGCUUAGAUUUUAAGUCGAAUGUAAACUAUAAAUAGAGUAGCUAGCCAUCACAAAUAAUCAUCUUUUCUUGGAAUGCAAUAUGUGACAAUUGUCUUUCUAAUAAAAGUUCAUUUACUUUCUUGUUAUUUA
rnacentral:lncRNA from 1 species